AUGGCAUCCCCGGAAGGAUCAAACUGGGUAUUCGACUGCCCCCUCAUGGACGAUCUUGCUGCCGCCGACUUCGCCGCGGCACCCGCAGGAGGCUUCUACUGGACCCCGCCGAUGCAGCCGCAGAUGCACACUCUUGCGCAGGCCGUCUCCGCCACACCGGCUCCCAAUCCCUGUGCUGAAAUCAAUAGCUCUGUUUCGGUGUGCUGGGACCAUGCCAAAGGACAACCGAAAAAUAAACGUCCUAGGUCAGAAACUGGUGCUCAACCUAGCUCCAAAGCAUGCAGGGAGAAAGUGAGAAGGGACAAGCUAAACGAGAGGUUCUUGGAAUUGAGUGCUGUCUUGGAUCCGGGGAAAACACCUAAAAUCGACAAAUGUGCUAUAUUAAAUGAUGCUAUCCGUGCGGUAACUGAAUUGCGUAGUGAGGCAGAGAAGUUGAAGGAUUCAAACGACUCUCUCCAAGAGAAGAUUAGAGAGCUAAAGGCUGAGAAGAAUGAGCUGCGAGAUGAGAAGCAAAAGUUGAAGGCGGAGAAAGAGAGCCUGGAGCAGCAGAUUAAGUUCAUGAAUGCACGUCAGAGCCUCGUACCACACCCUUCUGUCAUCCCAGCUGCUGCAUUCGCUGCCGCCCAAGGCCAAGCGGCAGGGCACAAGCUGAUGAUGCCUGUAAUGAGCUACCCAGGAUUUCCCAUGUGGCAGUUCAUGCCGCCUUCAGAUGUUGAUACCUCGGAUGACCCCAAGUCAUGCCCUCCGGUUGCAUAA
rnacentral:rRNA from 1 species